GUGGCUUCAUAGCUCUAGAAUUUCUUUCUCCUGAGAAUUAAAACACAACCACACACCAAUACACCCCACAGUUCCCAAUACACCACUUCCCCAAAUCCAAACACCUCGAUGCUCCUCCUCCCCAACAAGACAAAAUCCUUGAUUGGACUAAACCUUGACUCACUCCUCUCAGAGAUAGGAGUAUCCUAACCAGAAUUAAGACAUUAGCAUUUAGGUGGGAUUUCUGCAAGAGGAGAAGGCAAAGAUAACCCUGAAAUCAAAACAUAAAUAUUCUAUAUGUGGUAUUCUGAACCUGUACACAAGGGCAAAAGGGGGUCAAUGAACUGUCUAUCUGCUAAAUCUUUGAAUGUGCUUUGCACUCACUGUGUACUUAUUGCAUGUUGAUAACUAGAAGAAGAGAAGGAAAAGGAGAAAGCUGACUUUGGGUGAAAGAUAAUACAGGAGUACUCAUAAAAGCCAUGCCAGACUUUAGUCUUCCUUUCAACAUCUCACUCCCCAGAAAGUAAGAGUUAUCUUAUUAGUUUACAUGAAUAAGCCUGGUCUGGCUUCUCUCUUCUCAGAAAUCCUGUAUUUCAGGCCCAAGAUAAAACCAACAAUACUGAUAUGAGGGAAAUGAAUGCCAUGUGGUGCCUGAAGAGUUAUAACAGAACCAAAUGACAAGGAAAGAAUGUAGCAGAAAUCUGGAAGAUACAAUGGGCAGGUCAAAUCAUCAUGUUUCACCAAGAAGAGUAAACGGAAAAAGAGAGGAAGGAAGAUUGAAAUAGGAACAAUGAUAAAGAUGACCACAAUUUGCCGGACAUGUCGUAGGUACUUAAUAAAUACAUGUUGAUUGGCUGACUUACUGAUAGU
rnacentral:lncRNA from 1 species